rnacentral:rRNA from 1 species
AGCGAACGCUGGCGGCAGGCUUAACACAUGCAAGUCGAGCGGGCAUCUUCGGAUGUCAGCGGCAGACGGGUGAGUAACACGGGGGAACGUACCCUUCGGUUCGGAACAACUCUGGGAAACUGGAGCUAAUACCGGAUACGCCCUUAUGGGGAAAGGUUUACUGCCGAAGGAUCGGCCCGCGUCUGAUUAGCUAGUUGGUGGGGUAACGGCCUACCAAGGCGACGAUCAGUAGCUGGUCUGAGAGGAUGAUCCGCCACACUGGGACUGAGACACGGCCCAGACUCCUACGGGAGGCAGCAGUGGGGAAUAUAGGACAGUGGGCGCAAGCCUGAUCCAGCCAUGCCGCGUGAGUGAUGAAGGCCUUAGGGUUGUAAAGCUCUUUUGUCCGGGACGAUAAUGACGGUACCGGAAGAAUAAGCCCCGGCUAACCUCGUG